UACGUAGGCAGCGAGCGUUGUUCGGAGUUACUGGGCGUAAAGGGUGCGCAGGCGGUGGAGCAAGUCUGUUGUGAAAUCUCCCGGCUUAACCGGGAGGGUGCGGCGGAAACUGUUCUGCUGGAGUGAGGGAGAGGCAAGCGGAAUUCCUGGUGUAGCGGUGAAAUGCGUAGAUAUCAGGAGGAACACCCGUGGUGCAGACGGCUUGCUGGACCUCCACUGACGCUGAGGCACGAAAGCGUGGGGAGCAAACAGG
rnacentral:rRNA from 1 species